UACAGAGGGUGCGAGCGUUGUCCGGAAUCACUGGGCGUAAAGGGCGCGUAGGUGGCGCUGCAAGUCGGUGGUGAAAGCUCGACGCUUAACGUCGAGUCGGCCAUCGAAACUGCAGGGCUCGAGCACUGUAGGGGCAGAUGGAAUUCCGGGUGUAGCGGUGGAAUGCGUAGAGAUCCGGAAGAACACCGGUGGCGAAGGCGGUCUGCUGGGCAGUUGCUGACACUGAGGCGCGACAGCGUGGGGAGCAAACAGG
rnacentral:rRNA from 1 species